UGAACGCUAGCGGCAGGCUUUAACACAUGGCAAGUCGAGGGGGUAGAAGGGAGCCUUGCUCCUUUGAGACCGGCGCACGGGUGCGUAACGCGUAUGCAAUCUACCUUUUGCAGAGGGAUAGCCCAGAGAAAUUUGGGAUUAAUACCUCAUAGUAUAGCAGUUUCGCAUGAAACCACUAUUAAAGUCACAACGGUGAAAGAUGAGCAUGCGUCCCAUUAGCUAGUUGGUAAGGUAACGGCUUACCAAGGCAACGAUGGGUAGGGGUCCUGAGAGGGAGAUCCCCCACACUGGUACUGAGACACGGACCAGACUCCUACGGGAGGCAGCAGUGAGGAAUAUUGGACAAUGGGCGCAAGCCUGAUCCAGCCAUGCCGCGUGCAGGAUGACGGUCCUAUGGAUUGUAAACUGCUUUAUACAGGAAGAAACACUACUUCGUGAAGUAGCUUGACGGUACUGUAAGAAUAAGGAUCGGCUAACUCCGUG
rnacentral:rRNA from 1 species